UAGUGAAGCCUGUCUUGCAAAACAGGAACGUGACCAACUGUCGGAGGAAAACUAGUAUUGUGGGAGAAUAGUAGAGCCAGUGCGAAGAGUGUGUAUUGACGUGGGAAGUGAGUGUUGAAGCAAGAGAGAGAGAGAGCGGCAGUGUGUGAGUG